GACGAACGCUGGCGGCGUGCUUAACACAUGCAAGUCGAACGGAAAGGCCCUGCUUUUGUGGGGUGCUCGAGUGGCGAACGGGUGAGUAACACGUGAGUAACCUGCUCUUGACUUUGGGAUAACUUCAGGAAACUGGGGCUAAUACCGGAUAGGAGCUCCUGCUGCAUGGUGGGGGUUGGAAAGUUUCGGCGGUUGGGGAUGGACUCGCGGCUUAUCAGCUUGUUGGUGGGGUAGUGGCUUACCAAGGCUUUGACGGGUAGCCGGCCUGAGAGGGUGACCGGGGACAAGAGGACUAAGGUACGGCCCAGAGUCGUACAUGGGACAACGGGGGGGAAUAUGACACAGUGGUACGGAGCCUGAUACAGAGACGCCGCGGUCGGGAAGACGUCCUUCGGGUAGAGAACCGCUUUCGCCUAUUACGAAGCUUGUGUGACGGUAAUGAGUGAAGAAGCACCGGCUAACUACGUG
rnacentral:rRNA from 1 species